AACGUAGGAGGCGAGCGUUAUCCGGAAUUACUGGGCGUAAAGGGCAAGUAGGCGGUAGGCCAAGUUGGGCGUGACAAAUCCCGGCUUAACUGGGAGGGGUCGUCCAAAACUGGCCAACUCGAGGGCAGGAGAGGUAAGUGGAAUUCCUAGUGUAGCGGUGGAAUGCUCAGAUAUUAGGAAGAACACCAGUGGCGAAGGCGACUUACUGGCCUGUACCUGACGCUGAGAGGCGAAAGCUAGGGGAGCGAACGGGCUUAGAUACCCCGGUAGUCCUAGCUGUAAACGUUGGAUACUGGGUAUUGGGGGGUCAAAUUCUCUCAGUGCCGAAGCAAACGCGUUAAGUAUCCCGCCUGGGGACUACGGCCGCAAGGUUA
rnacentral:rRNA from 1 species